AACCCUUCAUUUCCAACUUCGAAGUCCACAUGACAUUGAGUCAACAUGAAUAAAACACUUUCCUUCACCCUUCCGGAUUAUCCCCCAAAGAAAGAAAAAAAAUCUGUAAUUCUUGUACAAGUUCUAGUGUUUUACUCACAAAGAAACGAAAUAAGCAGAUAUGGCAGACGCUGUUGUGACUUUCCUGUUGCAGAACCUGACUCAGUUGCUUUCCCAAGAAUCAAACUUGCUAGCUGGAGUAGAGGAUCAAGUCAAAUUACUUAAGAACGAGCUGUCUCUGGUCAACGUCUUCCUCCAAAAUACUGAAGGGAAGCGGCAUGACAGUGGCUUGGUGAAGGAGUUGGUCAACCAAAUCAGGGACGUAGCCUAUGAGGCUGAGGAUGUUAUUGAUACAUUCAUCAUAACCAUGACCAAGCACAGGAAAAGAAGCAAGCCAAGGAAGGUAAUCCAUUUCUUUGACAAAGCAAUCGCACUUCAUGAGGUAGCACACAAGAUAGAGAGCAUCAAGAACUUGAUCAAGGAAACUUACAACAAUAGGAGCAAGUAUGGCAUAGAAAUAGCUGAAUCAUCUGGAGGAGAUGCAGAAGCCGAGGAGAUACUGCACAGGCGCAGGAGAUAUGUAGAGGAAGAUCAUGUGGUGGGCUUUGGUCAUGACACAGAGGCAUUGGUGAAGCAGCUUAUUGAAGGGAAUUUGCAACAUAACGUUGUUUCAAUCAUUGGCAUGGGGGGUCUAGGUAAGACAACUCUUGCUAGGAAGAUCUACAACAAUAAUAAUGUCAAGAACUACUUUGAUGUCCAAGGGUGGGUUUAUGUCUCUCAAGAAUAUAGAAUCAAAGACCUGUUGCUUGAAAUUUUGAAGAAUGUGACACCAAUGCCAAAACUGAAAAAAUUUAUGUUGAAAGUCGAAUUGAAAGACGAAUUACUCCAUGGUUUGGAAACUAAGUAUAACUUAAACAAGGAUAAACUGAAAGGGACACUAGUUGAAGACUUGAAAGGUACCGUGGAAAUGAAUGAUGAAGAAUUCAGAAAGGCAUUGUUUGAGUUCUUGGAACACAUACAAGACCAUACACUGAGAAAUUCCUUGUCGGGUUUCGUGCGAGGUAUUUACAGGAAGAAUGGUGAAGGAUUGCAAGAUUUGAAUGACGAUGAAUUGAAAAGUGCGUUGUUCCAUUACUUGAAAGACAAGAGGUACCUACUUGUCAUGGACGACAUCUGGAAAACUGAAGUAUGGAAUGAGGUAAGUACUGCCUUUCCUAAAAACUUGAAUGGAAGUAGAAUAUUGAUUACUAGCAGAAUAAAAGAAGUAGCAUUACAUGCAAGUAGUCAUAAUAAUAGUAUUUAUAUUCCCCCUUAUGAACUCCAAUUACUUGACCAAGAUAAAAGUUGGGAGCUCUUCUCUAAGAAGGUGUUUCGGGGAGAUACAUGUCCUCCGGAACUUGAAACUCUAGGGAGACAAAUUGUAAAAAACUGCCAUGGUUUACCACUUGCAAUUGUGGUAUUGGGAGGUUUUUUGGCAAAUAAGGAGAAAACACAUCGAACAUGGUUGAAAUUGAUUGGCCAUGUCAAUUGGUAUCUGGAUCAGAAUAAAUCAUUUUGCAGAGACAUAUUGGCUUUAAGCUACAACCACCUAUCCCAACACUUGAAACCGUGCUUUCUAUAUUUUGGUAUCUACCCAAAAGACUUUGAGAUACCAGUGAUGCAACUAAUCCGACUUUGGAUAGCUGAGGGAUUCAUACAGCAAACUGGGAGUAGAAAUAUGGAGGAUGUUGCUGAGGACUACUUGGAGGAACUCAUUGAUCAAAGCUUGAUUCAAAUAGCAACGAAGAGGCUUGAUGGAGGAGUCAAAACAUGUCGUAUCCAUGAUCUUCUACGACACCUCUGUAUAUCGGUGAGUGCUGAAGAGAAGUUUCUUGAGGUUCGUUCAAAUGUUAACCUUUCACCCAUGAGCAAAUCCCGUAGAAUUUCCAUCCACAGUGCCAACCAUCCAGACAUUUCUUCCAACCCUUGUGAGCCUUCAAAUAGUCGUUCUUUCAUAGGCUUUGAGGAGGUUGUCAAGCUCGAGAGUCCUCUUGAUAAAAGCAACUACUUGAAAUGGCUAUGUGAAACUAACAAAUUGGUUCGGGUGGUAGAGCUUAGUAAUAUGGGCAUUUGUUGUUUGAUCCCCAACAAAAUUGAAAACCUGAUCCUUUUAAGGUACUUGAGCAUUCAAUCUGGAGAGCUUCAUGUCAUUCCAGAUUCCAUAUGCAGCCUUUGUAAUCUAGAGACGUUGGACCUGAGAAAUUCUGAAAGGACAAAUUAUAAAAUAAAAUGCUUGCCUAAAGGGAUAUGGAAGUUACAAAAAUUAAGACAUUUGUACUUGGAUGGGCCAACAUCUCUACCGAGAACUGACAAUACAGUGACUUUACCGAAUCUUCAAGUCCUUACUGGUAUAGCUAUAAAUGAAGACAUUGAGAGUCUCUUUGCCAAGGCCAGAUUUCCUAAUGUACGAAAAUUAGAAUUGCAUUCUAUAAGAUGGACGGAGUCAGGACUUUUGUCAAGCCUCCAUCCCUUGCGGCAUUUACAAACUUUGAAGAUUUAUGAACUUAUGUUGCUUUCAAGUCCAACUUCAUUCCACUUGACACUCACAAAGAUAACCAUAUUUGUAGGCGCAAACUUAUUUGGUGGUGGCGUGAUGAGAGUGUUGGGUAGCCUUACAAACCUUCGAAUACUCAAAGUAGUAGGAGAUGGCCAUCAUCAGAUCACCCUCGAUUGUGAUGAAAGAAGUUUUUGUCAACUUGAAGUCUUUAAAAUGGCAAAAAUGCAAGUUGUACAUUGCUCUAUGGGGAAAGGUGAAAUGCCAAGGCUUCAACGUUUGAUCAUCGAGUGUUGUGAUUUUUUUUUUAUGCCCCCUGAAGAACUACGUUGGUUGACUGCCAUUUGGAAUGUGGAUGUUUUAUAUCCUGGUCCAACAUUGGCAAAGAUGGUUCAACAGUUGCAGAAUCAGAUGAGGAAUGGAUGUAAGCUCCAAGUCUAUCCACCUCUUGACCCAACUUACCGAGAGAGUAGAAGUUGAGAGGCUUCAUUUGUUAUGCUAUGUUUUGGCGGGGGCAGAGUCCUGAGGGGGGUCAAUGCUCCUCUGUUCGUCCUUUAGUUCACAUAUUGCUGGUGAUAUCAUAAAGACUUUGAAGGAGAAUGGAUAUGAGUAUAAAUGGGGAAAUGUUACUGUGAAAUUGGUGGAAGCGUAUGGCUUUUGCUGGGCUGUUGAGCAGGCUGUUCAGAUUGCUUAUGAGGCGAGGAAACAGUUUCCGGAUGAG